rnacentral:tRNA from 1 species
UGGAUCACCUCCUAACAGGGAGACAACAAAAUGUUUAAUAUUAUUAUUUUGUCACCUUAGGUCGAUCGGUAUCUCACGUUCUUAAUUUAUUAAGAAUUUCAUUUCCUAAGUUUUUCUAGGUCACACCCAUUAUUUUCCUGGGCCAUUAGCUCAGGUGGUUAGAGCGCACCCCUGAUAAGGGUGAGGUCCCUGGUUCAAGUCCAGGAUGGCCCAUAUCUCUAUGUUGGGGGUAUAGCUCAGUUGGUAGAGCGCCUGCUUUGCAAGCAGGAUGUCAGCGGUUCGAGUCCACUUACCUCCACUGAUUACCACCUCUACCAUAAUUUGUAGAAAGGAAUGUUUUGAGUUGUGAUCAAAUUCUGAACGAAUCUAGCUUCCUAAUGAAAUCAUUAAGAUGCUGGACUCAUUGAAUUAAUUUCAUUGUUUUCAGAGAACCUUGACAACUGCAUAGAUUAUUUUUAAAGACAAUAAGCAUCUUUAAUGAUGCAGAUUUAUUAUUUGUGCUAAUGCAUUAAUAACAAUUCUAUUAAGCUGAUGCUUCAAUUUUGAAGUUAUUGGUCAAGCUACAAAGGGCUCACGGAGGAUACCUAGGCACACAGAGGCGAUGAAGG